rnacentral:rRNA from 1 species
UACGUAGGGGGCAAGCGUUGUCCGGAUUUAUUGGGCGUAAAGAGCGUGUAGGCGGCCAUACAGGUCCGUUGUGAAAACUGGAGGCUUAACCUCCAGACGUCGAUGGAAACCGUAUGGCUAGAGUCCGGAAGAGGAGAGUGGAAUUCCUGGUGUAGCGGUGAAAUGCGCAGAUAUCAGGAAGAACACCCGUGGCGAAGGCGGCUCUCUAGUACGGUACUGACGCUGAGACGCGAAAGCGUGGGGAGCGAACAGG